GGGGCCAUAGCUCAGCUGGGAGAGCGCCUGCCUUGCACGCAGGAGGGCGGCGGUUUGGACCCCGCCUGGCCCCC
rnacentral:tRNA from 1 species